rnacentral:lncRNA from 1 species
GACUGGGGAACCUGAUGAAGAGGAGGGAACUCUCCGCAGCUCCAUCCGCCGUCUGUCCACCCGCAGGCGGUAGAAACAGCUGGCGCGAUGGACCCCAGCCAGGAUCCCCUGGCACAUGACGCCUCCCACCCAGCCCCGAGCGCCCACCGCCACCAGGACUGUCAUCUUCCCGAGCCCUGCCCCCACAGACUCGUCUCUGCCGCCCAGACUUCCAAUAAAACGUGCUUUCUCUCCUGACAGCGUUUUGUGGAUCUGUCGGUCCUUCUGCGCGAAAGCCCAGGCGCCCCCUUGGCCCCGGCAGGGGGCGCCCCCACCCUUGGGGAAGGGGCGGGGACGUCGGCGGUGGGCGGGGGCGGGGGCGGGGGUGGCCUGGACGGGGGCGGGCUCUCCGGGCACCCAUUGGCUACCGCCCCCCAACACCAGGGCUCCCCCCAUCUCCCCCGACAUCAGUCGGUCCCGCUUCCAGCUGCUGCGGCCGCGCCUUCACAGCCUCGGCGUCCAGCCGCCUCUGCUCCGGCCGGCAUGGCGACCCCGACCCAGGCCACCACAGAGGCUCCUCAGGAACCUGACCCAUUUUACUAUGGUGAGUGGCGGAUUCGGUGAUGAGGGCACCCCGGGGCUGGAUGGAGGGUGGCUGUAGAUCCCCACAGAUCACUGCUGGAGUGGCUUCAGCUGUGGCUACCUGGCACAUGCUGGGCCACUGGCCAUGUGAUCACACUGAUGCUGUUCAUAGCACCUGGGCCCGUGGAGGGCAGAAUCAGACUUGGGGGGUACCUUCUCUGGGCCCCCCCCAAGCUUCCCAGGACUCCAGGCUGGUGCUCUGGGGUCAUCAGAGAGGGAAAUAACUCAGGUCAGGCCGCCUGGAUUUGAAUCCUGGCUUAGCCACUCACUAGCUGUGUGGCCUGGAGUAAGCAACUUUGCCUCUCUGGACCCUUCUGUAAAUAAGAGAUAGUAAUAAUAGUUCUCACCUGUGAGGCUUGUGGGAGAGAUUUAUUUGGAGGAUGCUCUUAAAUCGUCCCCACAGCACUGAAGCUCAGAGAAGUUACCCCCAGGUCUGGCAGACCUGCCCCAGUUCCCUCUCCAAGCCCUCCCCCCCGCCUCUGCUCGCUCAUACUGUGCCUCCAAUCAGCCAAGUUCUCUCCCACCUCAGGUCCUUUGCACCUGCUGUUCCCUCAGCCAGGAAGCCUCCUCCUCUAGCUCUCCUCACAAUCGGCUAAGGCUCCUCUUCCUUCUUCAGGCCUCAGAUCAUACACUGAUGGCCCUGGCUCCCCAGCAAAAGGAGCCACGCCCACAUCUACCCCCCACCCCCGUGCCCCCCGGGCACAUGACUCAGUUUCUAGUUUUAUUUUGAUUAGUGCUUUACCACAAUAUGAAAGUCGACUCCCUGGACCUCUGCUGGUACAGAGCUGGUGCUCCAUAAAUUAAUGUUUUAACAAAAGUUUACUAUGGUAUAUCAGACAAGAAUAAUUACCAUGAAGGAAAAUAAAGGAAAGGAUGAGAUUAGAGAGUGUUGAGGA